rnacentral:misc_RNA from 1 species
GAUGAAGAACGUAGCGAAAUGCGAUACGUAGUGUGAAUUGCAGAAUUCAGUGAAUCAUCGAAUCUUUGAACGCACAUUGCACCUCUCGGUAUUCCGGGAGGUAUGCCUGUUCGAGCGUCAUUUGUACCCUCAAGCUCUGCUUGGUGUUGGGUGUUUGUUCCGCCUCUGUGUGUGAACUCGCCUCAAAACAAUUGGCAGCCGGCGUACUUGUUUCGGAGCGCAGCACAUUUUGCGAUCCAGAUCAACGUACAGCGGCAUCCAAGAAGCCUUAUUUAACGCUCUUGACCUCGGAUCAGUUAGGGAUACCCGCUGAACUUAAGCAUAUCAAUAGCGGAGGA